rnacentral:misc_RNA from 1 species
GAUGAAGAACGCAGCGAAAUGCGAUAAGUAAUGUGAAUUGCAGAAUUCAGUGAAUCAUCGAAUCUUUGAACGCACAUUGCGCCCUCUGGUAUUCCGGGGGGCAUGCCUGUUCGAGCGUCAUUAUAACCACUCAAGCUCUCGCUUGGUAUUGGGGUUCGCGGUUCCGCGGCCCCUAAAAUCAGUGGCGGUGCCUGACGGCUCUACGCGUAGUAAUACUCCUCGCGAUUGAGUCCGGUAGGUCUACUUGCCAGCAACCCCCAAUUUUUACAGGUUGACCUCGGAUCAGGUAGGGAUACCCGCUGAACUUAAGCAUAUCAAAAGCGGAGGA